rnacentral:rRNA from 1 species
UUACUCUUUUUAUGUUGGUGUAUGUCUGGUUUGAUAUUAUUGUUGAAUAAUUUAAGUUUGUGUAGUUUUAGUUAAGCUAAGUCUAUGUGCUGCUUAUUGGAGUUUUUGUGUGUUACAUUAAUAAGGGUGUUAUUGUAAGAUGAUGUGAAAUU